CUUUCCUUCUCCAGUUUCCAUCAAAAUCAAUUCUUGUUUUCUCUCUCAGCAAAACCCUAGCUUCGACGAAUCGCGUACACUUUCUUCUUCGGAGUCGGAUCGAGUCGCCAUGGCUAAGAGCUCAUUCCAGCUUUCUAAUCCGCUGGAGACAAGGAUGAAUGAAGCGACUCGAAUCAGAGAGAAGUACCCUGACAGAGUCCCUGUGAUUGUGGAAAACAUGACAUGGCAAGAAGAA